GACCUGAUGGUGUAGUGGUAACACACCUGCUGACUUUGAAUAAUCCAAUGGGUAUAGAAGCAGGAGGCCCCGGUUCGAAUCCGGGUCAGGCCA